UGUGUGAUUAUCCGGAAGUAUUUCCCGAGGAUCUUCCUGGAUUACCACCUGAUAGACAAGUGGAGUUCAGAAUAGACUUGUUACCAGGAACCACGCCAAUAGCAAAAGCACCUUAUCGAUUAGCACCGACGGAGAUGAAGGAGCUAAUGAUGCAACUUCAGGAGUUAUUGGACAAAGGUUUCAUUAGACCUAGUUCAUCGCCCUGGGGAGCUCCGGUGUUAUUUGUAAAGAAGAAAGAUGGAAGUAUGAGAAUGUGCAUCGAUUACAGAGAGCUGAACAAGGCAACAAUAAAGAAUAGAUAUCCGUUGCCGAGGAUUGAUGACCUGUUUGAUCAAUUGCAAGGUUCGAGCUAUUUCUCGAAGAUCGAUCUUAGGUCAGGAUAUCAUCAGCUGAAAGUAAGAGAGCAAGAUAUCGAGAAGACUGCAUUCAGAACUAGAUAUGGACACUACGAGUUCUUGGUUAUGUCGUUUGGACUAACCAAUGCUCCAGCAGCGUUCAUGGAUUUGAUGAAUAGGGUUUGUAAUCCUUUCCUUGAUAAAUCCGUGAUAGUGUUCAUAGACGACAUUCUGAUCUACUCGAAAAGCCAGGAGGAGCAUGGCAGACACUUGCGAGAAGUGUUAGAAGUUUUGAAGAAGGAGAAGCUUUAUGCGAAGUUCUCCAAAUGUGAUUUUUGGAUUCGUGAAGUCCAAUUCUUGGGUCACGUGGUCAACCAAGAAGGGAUAAUGGUUGAUCCAGCGAAGAUCGAAGCUGUGACGAAGUGGGAACAACCGAAAAGUCCCACGGAGAUUCGAAGCUUUUUAGGAUUAGCCGGAUAUUACCGAAGGUUUAUCCAAGGCUUUUCUUCGAUUGCUACUCCAUUAACAGCUUUGACCCACAAAGGAGCUACUUAUGCUUGGAGUGAGAAGCAUAAAGAAGCAUUCGAGAAGUUAAAGAAGAAGCUAUGCGAGGCACCGAUACUUUCUCUACCCGAUGGAGUUGAAGACUUCGCUGUUUAUAGCGAUGCGUCUGGUGUUGGAUUGGGUUGUGUUUUGACCCAAAGAGAAAAGGUGAUAGCAUAUGCGUCUCGACAGCUGAAAGAGCAUGAAAAGAAUUACCCGACUCAUGAUUUGGAGUUGGCAGCGGUAGUUUUCGCUCUGAAAAUAUGGAGGCAUUACCUCUAUGGCACGAAGUGCAAACUUUUCACUGAUCAUAAGAGUCUCCAAUACCUCUUUAAUCAGAAAGAAUUGAAUAUGAGGCAACGACGCUGGCUAGAAUUACUUAAAGACUACGACUGCGAGAUACUUUACCACCCCGGUAAAGCUAAUGUUGUUGCUGAUGCUCUCAGUCGGAAGGUCAAUCUUGAAAGGAAGAGGCCAAGAGCGUUGAGAAUUGAAGUUGUCUCGACCAUUGUGGAAAGUAUAAAGAAAGCUCAAGAGGAAGCUUCUGAGAAAAAUGACCGAAAGGAGGAACGUUUGGGUAAAACGUUGGUGUUUGGUACUAACGGUCAUGGACUGAAGGUAUUCCAAGAUCGUAUUUGGGUACCUAAGUCAGGAGGAAUUAGAGAUCUUCUGAUGGAAGAAGCUCACAAGACCAUGUACUCGAUUCAUCCGGGUAGCACUAAAAUGUAUAGGGACCUGAAACCCUACUACUGGUGGCCGACGAUGAAGCUUGAUGUUGCAAAGUAUGUGGCCGAGUGUGUGACUUGUGCGAGAGUCAAGACACAACAUCAGAAACCGUACGGGAGUUUAGAACCUUUGCCUGUGCCUAUGGGUAAGUGGGAAGACAUUGCUAUGGAUUUUGUCACUAAACUGCCCAGAACAAAGAAUGGUCACGACAUGAUUUGGGUGGUCGUUGAUCGAUUCACUAAGAGUGCGCAUUUCAUAGCGGCCAGGGAGAAAUGGUCUAUGGAAAAGCUUGCGAAUUCUUACGUGAAGGAAAUUGUGAGGCUUCACGGUGUUCCGUUAACGAUUGUAUCGGAUCGUGAUAGCCGUUUCACCUCAAGGUUUUGGAAAAGUCUACAAGAGGAAAUGGGUACCAAGUUAUGUUUAAGCACAGCUUACCAUCCGCAGACUGAUGGUCAGAGUGAAAGAACAAUACAAACACUUGAAGAUAUGCUGAGAGCAUGUACCUUGGAAUUCCUAGGUAAUUGGGAUGAACAUUUACCGUUGGUAGAAUUUUCCUAUAAUAAUAGUUUUCACUCGAGCAUUAAGAUGGCACCUUAUCAAGCUUUGUAUGGACAGAAGUGUCGUACGCCGUCUUGUUGGCUUGAGGCUGGGGAAAAGCAGUUUAUGGGACCGGAGUUGGUUCAUCAAACUGCUGAAAAGUUGAAAAUAAUUAGGGAAAGAAUGUUAGCAGCUCAAGAUCGUCAAAAGAGCUAUGCUGACAAGAAGCGAAGACCGAUGACUUUUGAGGUUGGAGAUUCGGUUUUGCUUAAAGUCUCGCCGUGGAAGGGACUUAUAAGAUUUGGUAAAAGGGGAAAGUUGAGUCCAAGGUUUAUUGGACCGUUUAGAGUCCUUCAGAGGAUUGGGAAUCAAGCUUACAAGCUCGAAUUACCCGAAGAACUGAAUGGAAUUCACAACACCUUUCAUGUGUGUUAUUUGAGGAAGUUCACGGGAGAAGUUCCCGAUAUAAUUCCAAUUUCUGAAUUGAGAAUUGAUGAGAACAAAAGGUUGAUUGAAGAACCAGAGGCAAUUGUUGACCGAAAGACUAAGAAGUUGCGACGCAAAAUGGUUGGGUUAGUGCUUGUCCGAUGGAAACACACGAAUGGGCCGAAUCUCACCUGGGAGACGGAGAGUGACAUGUUGAGUCGCUAUCCGCAUUUGUUUGUUGAUGUGUGAUUCCGGGGACGGAAUCAUUCUAAGGUGGAGAGAAUUGUAACGCCUGUGUUUCGGGCUUGCCAUUUGUAGCAAUGUAAUAGUCUAGGUUAACCUCUGUAACCCGUUUUGAAAUAAUAAGAUUGUAUUAUUUGAGUAUUGUGUGUUUUGUGCUUAAUUGCUUAAUUAUGUGGUUUGAUUAAUUAAGAAUAAAAAUAAGCGUCAAAAUUUAAGUGUAAAAUAAACUUAAUAUAUUUGGUUAAUGUUGUAGUAGUUGAAACGAGGUUUCCGAAUAUAUAUAGAACGCCCAAAUCUGACUUCGUAUGAGGAAGUUAUGAUUUAUCGAAGUUCCGGCUUAGCGAUAUACAGCCUGUUUUACUCGAUUUGAGAUCGAGCGGUUGUUAGCCGAAGCAAUCUAAAUGAGAAUCGAAGAUCUCAUUGUUGGUAUUGAAACGAUAAAAAGUUAGGCGAGAACGGACGUCAAACGAAGAAGUUAUGAAUUUAUAACGAAAGUUUCUGUCCCGGCCUAUUAAAAAUAAUUAAUAAAAAUAAAGUCAAAAUUAGCCGACGGAGUCUAAACGAAAGUCGUAGAGCGUGGUCUCACCUUCGCGUGGAUAUAAAGAACGUCGAAAACGGAGUUCGUAUGAAGAAGUUAUGAAUUUCCGAAGUUUAUUAAUCAUUUUGUAUUUAUAUUUAAAUCAAAAUUCGGAAGCAUUAUCCGAAGGAGUCACCGAUCUGAUCCGAGGUACGCCCCGCGUACUCGAGUACGCCCCGCGUACUCCGAGGGAUGUCGACACUCGCACUCGAGCACUUCGGAUACGUAAGCAAUGACGUUUUGGGCAGUACGCCCCGCGUAACGCAGUACGCCCCGCGUACUCCGAGGCUCCAGCCUCCUAUAAAUAGGAUGCGAGGGUUCCGGGUAUUUUUGCCAAUUCCCUCUCGUUUUCGUGUCGAAGCUCUGUGCAAAAACCCCCGAAGCUACCCCGAAGUCCCGGUAUCAUACUCUAGCCCCGAGGCAAGUCCCGAGAUCCCGAAGAUCCCGAAAAGUGCGGUUCCCGAGUCGAAGCUCUGCCCGCGAGAAGUUCGAUUUUCGAGAAGAUCUUCCAGAUCUGCUGUGGAUUACUACUUCUAUAAGCCGUAGUGCUGUCCGAUCAUCUUCUGAUCAAGUGAGUGUGUAGUUAUUUCUUCUAAUACAAUAAUACGAAGUAUUUUAUAUAAAAAUACGUGCUAUGUGUAUAUAUUUGGUUGUGUUAUGUGUGAAUGAGUAUUCACUCUCUUCUAUCUUAUAGAUCUGCUUAUUUCUUUAUGAGAUAUGUGUUAUGUGUGUGUGUGCCUCAUCUGUUAUGUGAUAUAUGUGUUGAUUAAAGCAUGCUAUACAGGUUUUCUUUAAACUAUGUAUACAAAUGUAUAUUUUUAUCUACUAAUAUGUUGGGUAGAACAUGGGUAGACAGUUGGUGUGUAAUAAACAGAUGAGAGGCCUCGUUGUUGUUUGAUUGAGUCAUCUAGCGGAGUUUAGAUGACGACCACUGGCUAUUCUAGACAGUCUUGUGGAAACAUUAGCAGGUUCGCCACCUGUAGGUGUUAAUGAACUUGGGUGUUCAUUCGCUGUACUCCAUCCCCCUCAUGGUUGCCUUAUUUGACUUAUAUUGCUGAGGUACCCCCGAAGCAUGUGUUGUCGCCCCGAUGAAAUAUUCUUAGACUAGGUCCCUUAUGUUAGUUGUUUUAGGGACAUUAAAGUGAGAAUAACGGGAAUGGGUAAUUGGGUUAUUGUUGGUUGGUGAAAAUUAAAUAUGAUAUUUAUUGUGGGUUGAAAACCCUAUAUGCUCACCAGGCUCCCAAGCCUGACCCACUCAGUUUUAAAUUGUAUUACAGGUAGUGGCGGAAGGGCAUGAGAUGGAUGAACCAUCAAGUUGUUUUGUUUACAAGUCUGCAUAUGUUUAUAUUUGUUAUAUGACUUGUAAUGUAUUCGUUUAUGCUUAUUGGUCUGUAUCGGAACAUGACACCCCGAGUUUUGAUUAUAAUGAAAAUACAUUUCUUUUAUGAAAUGCUUCGGUAAACAAUGUUUUAUCAUGUUUUGUUUUUGGGAACAAAUUCCGCAACUCUUUCAAAUCAAAAGGAUUUACUCUGAAAAUAUUUAAAAGCAUAAAUGAAAAUCGGUCUUUUCUGGCCGAGAUUUUGGGGAUGUCACAGAAAUUAAGGUUUCAUCACACAACCUCAACUCAUCAUCGAGUCCAUCCCUCCAACUCGACGAGUAGGCUUCCUAAUGCACACAUCCUGAUCAACUCAAACACGACGAGUUGGCGCCAACCAACUCGUCGAGUAGGCCCUUCAACUUGCACUAAAUCCUCAAGUUCCACAUCCAGGAAUCGGGGUGUUACAAUUCUCCCCCACUUCAAUUAGAUUUCACCCUCGAAAUCACUCUUUAUCAACACAUCAAGAAAAAAUAACCCACGAAGCACCACCGAGAAAAUCUCAUACCAUACAACGAUCUCUUUCCCAAGACAUCCAAAACUGAAAGUAACUCCCAACACAAAAAGGACGACCCCCUACCGUUGCAGUAUCAACUCCGACUCUCUAGAGCUCGUAACUUGUAGUGGUAUAUUUCCCUGAAAGACCGCCCAUGCAGAAUAUCACCAUAACAAUCCAUCAUCAAAUCUAGGAACGAUAAACAAUCUUACCUCUUCAUGAUUUAUGAGGACAAAUCUUUGACCAUAAUUAGAUGUUGAUUACUCAUGUCAGACAUACUAGUCGGUCCAGAUCGUAACUCAAAAAGAAUGGAGGGGUCACAUAUCACCAAGGACGAACCAUCGGUACUGUUAUCAGAACCAAUUUGAAGAAUGAAUCUCAAUACUCUGCUCUCAGACACUAGAAGAAUGACCAUGCCCAGUCGGAACUAUCCUCUGAUCUCUACAAUCGUAAGCCCCAGCUUCCUCUCAAUGUUCCUCCCAACACCGAGUACCAAGUCAGCUCCCGACCCAAGAUUUGAACCUCUAAGGCUACCCUAACACAUCCGGCAAUACGACUUCACAGUCAUUAUGUCCAACCAAGCAGUCUCAACCAAUCACACUGGUCUCACAGUCACCAAGUUCGAUUUGCCCUAAGCGAUUACUACAACCGAAUUGAAGUCGAACCUCACCUCCGAUCUCUGUUGUCUUCUACUUGCGACUUCAUGUGUGUCGUGUUUAUCCUCAAACUAAUGAACCAAUCCACCCAGGUCUAAGACAUCAUAUAGGAAACAUCCCCACUCAUAAAGAAAUCCAUCCGCAAACUCCGAAAUCCCAACCUGCCCGUCCUCCAUACAGAUAGAGCCUAAACCUUGUUGGGAUUUAAGUAUAUACCACUCAUAUGGUGCACAUACAACCCUAAUGCCUUGGAUCUAAUUUUUCUAUAGUUAUACAUGAAACAAAAAUUAUCCAAAGCAUGAAACCUAUCUAUCAUACAAAUUUGGUACAUGAAUCUUAAAACUAGUUAGAAGAAUACCUUGUAUUUGUCAAUUCUAGUUGUUGGCCUUUGAAGAGCUUAGCACCUCAUGUGUGAUGCCUCAAACAAGUCACAAACACCACGAACAAAUGGAGAAUGAUGAGAGAGGUUAUGGAGCACACAAAAUCGUCCAUCUCUUAGAAUAAACUACCUUUGGUCCGAUUUUUGGCUUUAGUGGGUUACAUAUAUACUGUAGAAUUCCAAGAGUUAUAUCUGACCCUAGUUCUUACACUUAGGAUUAUGAUCCAUAACUUAUUUAGACUAAUAAUUUAUGGACUUUCACAUAAGCUUAGCCCAUUACAGAUUAAUCAUGGAUCAUUAGCCCGAACCAUAUGUCUCACUGAUUUACAUAUUCAGUCCCUCUUAAUUUAAUUAGUCUCUUUUGAUCACUAAAUUAAUUCCAAAUUAAUUAUGGAUCAAUACUAAUUAAAUAAUAUGAUUUCUCAAUUAAUAUAUUAUACUUAUAAUAUAUUAAUAAAUCACAAAUAACCUCUUUUUCAAAUAUCCAUCCUGUCAAAUUGUUCUGGUGAAGGCAACCUGAAAUGGACAAUGCUACUCUCGGGUCAAGUACAUACUAUAGUUAUGGGCUUAGACACCUAAUCCAACAGUCUCCCACUUGGAUAAUUCUAAUAACUAUAAUUGUAGGUACGACUUCAAAACCCGACUACCAAUCGUAGUUCUCAAAAGCCGUUGGCAAACUCUAACCUAGUCAAUGACACGUCUAUUAGAUAAGGGAUCAUAUAUUACUCCAUUCUACAAGAUAUCGUAUGAACUGAGACAUGGAUUAAAAUCAUUCUCUUUGUUCAUGUGUUGUUUCCCACUUUCCUUUUUUCGAUGACCGACUAAUUGAACAAAUCAAAUCAGUCCAGGCUUGGCCAAGCACUUAGGGUUGUCAUCGCUAAAUCAUCGAGGGGCCCACAAAUAUCGCUUUUAUCCCUCUUAGGGUAAAAGGAACGGAUAAACCUCGAAUCAUAUUCUUGCUCUAUUAACUCAUCAAAUAACACACAUCAAUAUGUUUUAUAACACCAAGUUACAAGUGCAUUUUCAUAUCAUCAAUGUACAAUUGACUUGUAAACUGCAACUCAUAUCUCUCUGUUUCAAGAAUAUAAGAUAUUAUCGUCUCACAAUCACUCGUGAUAAAAUCCAUGAAGUGAUUCAGAUGAGUGUGGGUUUAAUCCAAUACUCAAAUCUUAUUACAGGAGUAGUCAUGAAUACUACACCAAACUUGUGUUAUGUCUAACACUUAGACAAUUUACAGUCGGAUUCAUGACAGUCUUACCUCAUUACUUACUUCCAAAGUAUGAUUGAAUGCUGAUGUUUGAAUAACCUAGUUAUUUAGAAAGUAAAACAUGCGAAGUGAAACACAAGAAUAAUCGAAUCAAAUAUGGUCUCAAAACUUUUGAUUGUAAAUAAAACACCUUAUAUGUAAUCACCAUAUCGAUUACACAUUAUUCAUUGUAUAAUGUUCUGACUGAUCAACUUAAUACUUGAAUUAAAACAAUAGUCAUCCCAUGCUCCAACAUGCACACUAUGUUUACCUAUGAUACUUACUUUGUGAAAUAGAUCAAUUGUAAACAUUUCCAAUGACACUCAUUUCAGAAUUCCAAAUCCUUAUCGUAAGUGUGAGAAUACCAAGUCCUUGCCACUUACUGUAAUUUGUUAGAUUCUAAGCUUAUAUGCAGUGAUCCUUUUGUAAUGACUAUGUACACAAGUCACAGAGACUUUUCCAAUUACAAAACCUUCCAUUGGAGAUUGUUACAAGACAAUUCUAUAGAUACAAAUUCUCAUAUUCAAGGAACAUUCCUUUGAACAUCCUUCUUGCAUAAAAGUUUCUAACUUACUCAUAGAUUUUUGAUAUCCAACUCCCAUUACGGAAACUUUUCCAUAAUUGACAUAUGACUAUCUAUUCUUAAUAGAUCCCUAUCUAUUCAGAAUUAUAUCAAUACGGUCCAUUCAUUACUAUACUUCCAACUAUCCAUAACUAAAAAACCCUUGGUAAACCUCAGAUUGUCCUUGACGGUUGUUUAAUAACUUUAGUCAUAUCUGGUUGUAGACCUUUUUCCCUCUUAAUGCCCUAGACAUUUAGAAAUUAGAAAACGAGAAUAUUAUAGCAUAUGCAAUCGAUCCUAUACCCGAAGCAUAUGGGAUACGAUUCAUAAUGUCUUACAUAAAGACAUGAUACUCGAUCAGUCUUUUGCUAUAACAUUUCCAUGUAUAGAAUUUCCAAUGUUGAAAUAUUUCAACAUGGUAUUCAUAUAUCUACGACUAAGUUUAAUUAAUACUUCAAUCUAAACUUUUAGAUUCGAAAUAAAGUAUAAUUAUCCUCUCCUUUAUUAUAGUGAAACAACUUUUCAAACUUUGCAACUUUGGAAAUUUGUAAUCUUUGUUUCCUAUAACUAGUAUUGCUAACUUGUAAACAUCACAUAAUAAUAAUCAUGCUCCCACUAUCACGAUAAUUAUAUUCUUACUAGCAUAACACUUAUGCUCCCACUAGCUUUGACAUGUACUCAGAAAUUAGCUGGACUUCUAGAAAUCAAUACUUAUUGACUUUCUUACCAAAGUUUAGAGUUCUGAUAUGAGAUGCUUCGAUAAGCCUUUAUCUAAGCUCAUACACCUUUUAUUAGAAAGCUCAUAUGUGUGACUAAACUAUUCAGAACUUAUAACAAUAAGUUCUGAAUGUUCAAACUAUUUGCCAUUUCUCACAAUUCAAAUUAUGAAGAGGGAUGUUGUAAUCAUAAUCGAAUUUCAUAAUGCAAUUAACACAACUUCUAUCUCCUUGGUUCCUCACAAUCAUUUUCAUGAAUUGGAUAGAAACCUUAUGCCACUUAGAUUUUAUGGUGUAUGUGUUACUAUCCAUGUGAAACUGUCAUUUGCAACCAUUGUUAUUAGAUAAGGUCUAUGGCAGAUUCAAACUCAUAUGGACUGAACUUGUUCAAUCUUAAUUUUCUGCCACUUGGCAGCACAAUGGCCUACCAUGUCUUCCAAUUUGUUAUGAAACUCACCCUUAUUGAUUAGUGAACUUUCACUGAUCAAGGUGAUUUUCCUUAUAAAAACUAUUGAGAACUCAUAAAAAUCACAUGCAUAGUCAACUUUAACUGGAAUGAGAACAUAAACAAGAAUAUGCCAACACGAUAGGUUACAAACCACAAGUCAUGUGCUAGCGAUAAACGAUAGGUUUAAUCUUGAUUAGUUCUUGAAACUUUUCAAGAUCUUUAAGACUCCCACUAACCUCUUGACAUAUAAGAUUCUCUGUCAAGAAAACACUCCUUGACAACCAAAUAUUCAAGAGUUAGUGCAGAUUCUUAUCAAGGAAAACACUUCAUUUAAUUUGGUCUUAGUUGGUCUUUGUUUUAUCCAAUACAUCACAACUACCAAUUCCAAACAUGCAUGAGUAAGAAAACUUUUCUAAUCCACAUUUCAUGAUGUGUUACAAACCUUCUUAGGACAUGUCACUCAAGACACAAUCUUGGAGUAUGACUCUAAGACUUGAUUUUGAAACAGAGUAUGAUUCACCUUUUUUUUAUUUAACCAUUUCAACAAUUCCCGAUUCCUCUUCUUAGCCAUACAAGUGCACUAAGGUGUCCUUAUAGGAUCAAUUAUGAUACGGUUCCAUAAUCAUUAAGGUGAUCAUAAAUCAUGAUACUAAAGUACUCUCCUUUCCUUUCAGAUUAGAGAAGUGCUUUUAUCUUUCCUCCUAAUUGAUUCUUCUUCUUCGUUCUGCUAUACAUUGAAACUUUUUCAAUGAUUCAUAAUUAUACUUAAUCUUGUAAGCAUAAUCAUAUUCGCUAAGCUUUUAGUAAAUCAUGAUGAAUAAUCUUAUCGUUCUUUGUGGUGGACCUGAUCCAAUACACAACCAAGUGUACCUGAUCCCCUAGUCCUUCACUUAACUUACAUAUACAUGUGAACAAGGAAUUAGUCUUAAUUUCCCAAAGAUAAAGGUUCUCAUUUAUCAUACAAUACAAGUUGCAUGAUUCCAAGUUUCUGUCCAAUUGAAUCUUUGGUGAUGAGAAUCUUUCCUUAUUUGGUAAAUUUAGACACUACCACAAACGAAAGAAUCAAAUCCAUAUUGCUAAAAAUAAAAACAUACAAACAUCAAUUUUCACAAAUGUCAUUACAAGGAACCAUAAAUAAGAUAAAAAUCAAUUUUUUUUCUUUAUUUAUAAAAUGCGGAAAACUUGUCCUUACAAUGAAAUAUUGAACUCUAAGACUUGAUUUGAUGAUUAGAGUUUGGAGCUGCUUAGGAGUUAUGAUAAAUUUAUGAACCCAAGAGUUGCAUCUUUUGAAACCUUUCAAUUACUAGAUGUUUUAGAAUUCAAUAUUUCAAAUUAAAACUUUUUAAUUAAACAUUUCAAAUUCCAAACACAUGAGGGUAAGUUUUGAAACUCUUCAGAACCUUUUGUAUUCCAAAACAUGAUGACAAGUUUUGUAACGAUCCAAGACUCUUAAAUUCCAUAACUUAAGGAGUUAAUUUGUUUCAAGAAUAGAGACUUUUUAGGUUCCAUAACUUGAGGACAAGUUAUAAAACUAUUCAAGAAACAUUUAGAUCAAACUUUAAGUUAAUAAAACAAUCAUAUCAUUUUAUCUAUUACUAAAUUGAUCUAAUUCAAAUCUCUCAGCAAGAUGAUCCAAAUUUUACAAAUAAUUAGUUUUCACAAAAUCAAGUAAUUAUCUUAAAAUUUGGCAAUAAUCAUGUUAUUGGAUGGCGGUAAUCAUUACCAUACCAACAAAAUCAAAUUUUAUGAACCAAAACAUUUUAUGGUAAUGAUCCUAAUCCAAAACAGGCCAAAACUUGAAAAUUCUGCCAACAGAUAAUCCAACUCGUCGAGUCUGAUAAUGGACUCAUCGAGUUCAUCACUUAUGAACAUGGACUCGUCGAGAUCAUGUAUGGACUCAUCAAGUUCAUGUAUGUACUCAUCGAGUCCAGCAGUCAGAAGGCAGUUUCUCAGGUUUUUCAACUUUGAACAAUUAGACAAUGCAACUAUAUAAAACAGAAAACUACUCAUGGCUCUGAUACCACUGUUGGGUUGUAAGUACUCUAACAUUCCUAUGGUUCACAUACAACCCUAAUUCCUUGGAUCUAAGUUUUCUCUAGUUAUACAUGCAACAAAAAUUAUCCAAAGCAUGAAACCUAUCUAGCAUACAAAUUUGGUACACGAAUCAUAAAACUAGUUAGAAGAAUACCUCUUAUUUAUAGCUUGUAGUUGUUGGCCUUUCAAGAGCUUAGCACCUCAAGUGUGAUGCCUCAAACAAGUCACAAACACCAUAAACAAAUGGAGAAUGAUGAGAGAGGUUAUGGAGCACACAAAAUCAUCCAUCUCUUAGAAUAAACCACCUUUCGUUUGAUUUUUGGCUUUAGUGGGUUACAUAUACAGUGUAGAAUUCGAAGAGUUAUAUGUAACCCUAAUACUUACACUUAAGCUUAUCAUCCAUAAAUUAUUUGGACUAAUUAGUUAUGGAAUUUCACAUAAGCAUAGCCUAUUACAAAUUAAUAAUGGAUCAUUAGCCCAAACCAUAUGUCUCACUGAUUUACAUAAUCAGUCGCCGUUAAUUUAAUUAGUCUCUUUUGAUCACUAAAUUAAUUCCAAAUUAAUUCUUGAUCAAUACUAAUUAAAUAAUAUGAUUUCUCAGUUAAUAUAUUAUACUUAUAAUAUAUUAAGAAAUCACAAAUAACCUCUUUCUCAAAUAUCCAUCCUGUCAACUUAUUCUGGUGAAGGCAACCCGAAAUGGACCAUGCUACUCUCGGGUCAAGUACAUACCAAUUAUAGUUAUGGGCUUUGACACCUAAUCCAACAAAAUCAACACAAGAGUCUAGCCCAACAAAGAAUUGGAACCAUUCGUAUCCAAUGUGUUACUCAACUCAUGACCUGAGAUCCGCGAUUCCACACGUACAUUAUCCUUUCGAUUUGCGACAAUCUCUCCCUCCAACGAGAUAAUACAGUUUCCGACCAUCAUAGAGACCUCAGUCUCGCCCCUGGUCUGGCCACCAUGCUCCCUCACACUCAUUUGGCAAUGCUACCCGGGCCUAAGAACCCUCUGCGUCACACCCUGACUAGUAAAGGCUACGACUCCCUGUAGUUUUACAACACUCUCUCACUGACUAAUAAGUGCUACGUCUCCCCACAUUCUUAUGACACUCUCUCACUACCUCGUGAAUGCUACGGCUCCCUGUAGUCUUACAAUACUCUCUCUCUCUCUCUCUCUCUCUCUCUCAUUGACUUAUGAAUGCUACGGAUCUCCAUAGUCUUAUGGUACUCUCUCUCUCUCUGACUCAUGUAUGCUACGGCUCCCCACAGUCAUACGAUGCUCUCUCUCUUACUCAUCUAUGCUAUGGCUCCCCGAAGUCAUACAAUGCUCUCUCUCUAACUCAUGUAUGCUACGGCUCCCCAUAGUCAUACGAUACUCUCUCACUCGCCAUGGGCUCACCCCAAGGGUAUUUCCCUAACGGUCCUAAGUGAUUACUCCCACCCAGAUGCGCUCACUCUCUUAUCACCCUACAAUCUCAUCAUCAAGUCGUCACCAACCUGAGUUCACUAUCACAUGACAUGCGGUCCAAAAUAGUUAGGUGCACACAUCUACUCAGAUUAUGCAUCACUACUCUUGACGAAAGUUCUCAUACACAAGGCACUUUCCUCAGUACAGUCACACCUUUGGACAAUUCCCUUUUGGCGACAAUUAGUUGAUUGUCUCACAUCUAGAAAUAUAGUCGCUUAAUGUUCCAAUUCCCGUUUGAUAAACCCAAGUCUCAUAGAAAUUUUCACCUAGGGCAUCAUACUCGGAUACCUCGAUACACCAUUAGAGAAUCUCACGACAGCGUGUCACGACCACUGAUCUUCCGCUCACACAACUCAAAACCUUGAAGUACUCCCACUCAUAAUUUGAAACACGGAGGAAUCAUUAAUGAUUGAUAACGCAUUGACGACAAUCCAAAACCCCAUCAUCAACUUAUCAAAACCCAAGCGAAACUACUCAUACCGACUCUGAAGUUGAUUUACAAGACAACUGCUGCUCUUACCGAAGUACAAAUAACAAUCUAUACGUCAAAAUAUCAGUCUCCCCGCAACCGAAUCUUGACCUUGGCAACCCAACCACCUCAAUACUCAAACAUUAGCACACCAGAAGAAACACGGAUCGCAAUCAGAUUCCUGUCCUACGGCUACCUUCCUUGAAGACACUCAUUCUCUCCUGAGCAUAUGCGACAUGCAUCACCUCGCUCUGUAUGUUGACUUAACUACCACAUGGCCCCCAACCUCAUAUAUUUGGACCGUAGAUCCCCAUAACCCAACUUCUGUACCACACUAGACUGAGGAUCCUCCCCAUAGAAUACCUAAUUCUCCCCCACUUAGGGUUCGAACCAUCGUCCAUUGACAUACCAACCGACCACACUACAGACUAGUUCACCAGAUGUACCAUUACCGAAUCAUGGAAUGUACACAUAGCCCUCAAUGACCUCCCAGAUAAUGACCUAAUAACUCUAAGUAUCCCGAAUCUUAGAUGAAAAUCUCGGAAUCCUCCUAAUGUGAAUGCCUCUAGUCACCACAAAAUCUCAUACUGACUCUUCACCGGAAAUCUCGACUGUCAUGGAUUAGUUACAACUCUCAGUCCAGAAUAAUGAACUAUCACACACACAUCAUAUCUGAUUCCUCAACCAACAUUCCAUUGCAUGAAUUAUUAAAGAAGCACGAGACCUCACUCACAUAGUCGAUAUACAAUGUAAACAACGAGGGCCGCCACCCUAAUAUACUCCUCUUGACUACCUGGAACUGCUGCUAAAAUAUGCCCACUAUACUAAACUAAAGUAUACCCUUGUCAUCAUCCAUCUCAUUCCCCUCUGAUGACUCUCUCACGGUAUAAGAAAUACCUCGCAGCAAAAACACUAUUGCAACUAUAGGCUACCCCACGGGUUUUACUUCCAAACUAUGAAACCAGAAGCUCGUUAUCUCUUUCGCUCCAUACGGGAAGCGUAAAUAUUGUAUUUCUCGUCAUAGAAAGUGACAUUUCAACCAUUGGCUGAUCACUCAGUCCAUACCUCAAUCCUCCACAAAACAACAUUGUAACACCCGCGUUUCCAGGCUAGGCCUUUCGUUGAUGUAAUAGUCUAGGUUAACCCCUGUAACUCUUUUGAAGUAUUAAUGAUGAAAUAUUUGAGUAUUAUGUGAAUGAUGUGAAUUAUGUGUUUAUUUACUUAAUUAUUAUAAUUUAAUGAAUUAAGAAUAAAUUAAGCGUCAAAAUUAAAGUAUGAGAUAAGCCCGAUAUCUUUGCAUAAAGUUGUAGUGGCCGAAACGAGGUUUCCGAAUAUAUAUAUAUAGAAAGCCCAAAUCUGACAUCGUAUGAGGAAGUUAUGAAUUUCUGAAGUUUCGACUUAGCGGUAUGCAGCCCGAAAUACUCGAUUUGAGAUCGAGCGGUUUAUAGCCGAAACAAUCUAAACGAGAAUCAAAGAACUCGUUGUUAGUAGCGAAACGAUGAAAAGUUAGGCGAGAACGGACGUCGGACGAAGAAGUUAUGAAUUUAUAACGAAGUUUUCCUGUCUGGGCCUACAAAAAAUAAAUAAAAAAAAUAAAGUCAAAAUUAGCCGACGGAGUCCAAACGAAAGUUGUAGAGCGUAGUCUCACCUACGCGUGGAUAUAUAAAGAACGUCGAAAACGGAGUUCGUAUGACGAAGAUAUGAAUUUUCAAAGUUUAUUAAAUAAUUAAUAUUUCAAUUUAUUUAUUAUAUCCGAUAUUAUCCGAAGAGGAGUCACCGGACUUAUCCGAAGUACGCCCAGCGUACAGCGAAGCAUGACAUGCCUCGCACUCAAGUUCUUCGGAUGACGCACACAGUGACGAUUUCGGAGGCAUACACCCCGCGUAAGGCUGUACGCCCAGCGUAAUGCGAGGCCUCAGCUUCCUAUAAAUAGGAUGCAAGGGUUCCGGGCAUAUUUGCUCAAUUCUUCUCUUUUUCGUGCCGAAGCUCUGCGUGUAAACCCCCGAAGCCAUUCCGACACCCCAGAUCUCAUAUCCAAGUUAAGAAGGAAGUUUUACGCUCCCGAGAUCCCGAGAAGUGCGAUUGCCAAGCCGAAGCUCUGCCCGCGAGGAGUUCGCUUUUUGUGAAGAUCUUCCAGAUCUACCAAAGAAUACUACUUUUACAAGUCGUAGUGCUGUCUGAUCAUCUUCUGAUCAAGUGAGUGUGUAGUUACUUUCUUUUGACGCAUAAUUAUGAAGUAUUAUAUAUAAAAUACGUGUUAUGUGUAUAUUUUGUUGUUAUAUGUGUGAAUGUAUAUUCACUUUCUUCUAUCUCAUAGAUCUAAUUUAUUCUCUAUGAAAUACGUGUUAUGUGGGUGUGCCUCAUCUGUUAUGUGGAAUAUGUAUUGAAUGAGAAUGCUAUACAGGUUUUAAACUAUGUAUAAAAAUAUAUAUUUUUAUCUACUAAUAUGUUGGGUAGAACAUGGGUAGAUAGUUGACGUGUGAUAAACAGAUGAGAGGCCUCGAUGUUGUUGUUGUUGAUCUAGUUAUUCAGCGGAGUAUGGAUAACGACCACAGACUCUUCCUAGACAGUCUAAUGGAACGCUAGCAGGUUCAUAACCUGUAGGUGUUGUGAACGAUGUGUUCACCUGUGUACUCUAUCCCCCUCAUGGUUGCCUUUAGGNGAAAAUACAUUUCUUUUAUGAAAUGCUUUGGUAAACAUUGUUUUAUCAUGUUUUGUUUUUGGGAACAAAUUCCGCAACUCUUUCAAAUCAAAAGGAUUUACUCUGAAAUUAUUUUAAAAGCAUAAAUGAAAAUCGGUCUUUUCUGGCCGAGAUUUUGGGGAUGUCACAGUUGGUAUCAGAGCAUUAGUUUAAGAGAACUAGGAAUUUGUAGGAUUUCUAGACUUAAACUUAAAAUGCUUAGUGAAAUUUUGAGAUGUAUGUCUGUUAUGUUUUAAAAACGAGCACUAGUUUAUUUUAGGAAAGUUGCCUAAAAUGCUUUUAUGUGCUAAAUGUUAUAUGUUGCCAUAUAUGAUAUUAUUUGUUCGGAUCUAUGGUCUGUUGCCGACCGGAUCUGGAAACCUUACGUUUGUAGGAUUCUAAGCGUAUGUCGACGAAUUUAGAACUAGGAUGUAAACGUUUCGGAGUGAUAAGGAUGAUUUGAAUAUCUAUCGUGAUUGAGGAUCUAAUUUUCACCUUAUUUGGUGUGUAGAUCAAAAUGGUGAGAACAAGAAGUGGAGUUGGAAAUGCUGAUGAAAACAGGAAUCAACCACCAGUGAUUGAACAAAUACAUGUCGUAGCAGCAACACCUGAGCCAAUAACCAUGGCUGGUGUGCAUAUGAUGAUUCAAACAAUGUUGGAUCGUUAAAUGGAGGAGACUAUGUGGUUGCUUCAACAGAAUCGUGAAGAACUGUCAAUUCGUGUGGAAGAGCCCGAAUUAAAUGAAGGGCACUCGGAAGGUGGAAACUUCAGUGGGUCUGUUGGUCAAGGCAACCCACCGAUAGUUAGGCAGAACAACCAUGUGGAAGGAAUGAUGGAAUGGGAUGCAAGUAAAAGGACUUUCUAACUUGCAAACCAUCGACCUUCAAUGGAAAGGAGGAUCCGAUUGGAGUUAUGGAUUGGAUCUCAGAAAUGGAGUUAGCCUUCAUGACUUGUGGCUGCAGAGGAAAGUUGCAGACUAUCUAUGCAGUGCGUCAGUUCCGAGGUGGAGUCGUUUGAUAGUGGAACACUCUAGGAAAUACUUUAAGCCCUAAUGAGCCACUGCAGUAUUCAUGGGCAGAGUUCUUGGCGUAUUUCAAGCGCAAGUUCUGCUCGGCUCAAAAUCUGUUGGAGUUGGAGAAUAAGUUUUUGACAUUGAUGAAAGGCAGCGUGUCAGUUGAUGAAUACACUAAUAACUUUACGGACAAGAUGGAGUUUGCUUUGCGCAUCAUUCAAGAUGAGCUGACAAAGGUGGACCAGUAUGCGAAGGGACUCCCAUGGGAGUACGAGGUGCCGGUACGUCANUAGACGCAACUAUCUGGGCUGCCAAGUCUGUUGAGAACAUGAUUAAGGGGAGAACCACCAACAAGGUUGAGGUUGGUGAGAAGAGAAAGUUUGAGGGAACAUCUGGUUCCGGUAAGAAAAGAAAAUUUUCGAAAUCUGAUUCGAAAAAGUUUGGUGGAGGAAAAGGAAGCGAAGCGAAGUGGUGUGAUAAGUGUAAGAAAAAGCACUUUGGAAAAUGUAGUGAGGAUGUAACCUGCUACAAGUGCGGAAAAAUUGGGCAUUUUUCCAUUGAGUGUUCGAACAACAAAAGGAUGUGUUUUGGUUGUAAUGAAGAGGGCACAUUUUGAAAGACAGUCCGAAGAAGAAGGAGGCAGCUAAGCCCAACAUUCCACCAAAGCCGAAGGCGAGAGCCUUCCAGAUGACAUUUGAAGCUGCGAAAGAUGAAGCUGAUGUCGCUUCAGGUACCUUUCUCGUAAACAAAUUAUCUGCUCAAAUUUUGUUUGAUUCUGGAGCCAACUACUCCUUUAUUUCGCAUGAGUUUGGUAGAAAACUAGUUUUGCCUGUUGAUAGACUAGAUAAUGUUUUAUUAGUCGAAAUUUCUAGUGGCAAGUUUGUACUUGUUAGCCAUCGUAUGAAAAACAUCUUAAUCGACCUGAAUGGGAAUAAGUUUCACGAGGAAUUAUUUCCUAUCAAACUUAAUGGUUUCGACAUCAUUCUGGGAAUGGAUUGGCUUAGCGCCAAUGAUGCCGAAAUAUUGUGCAGAAAGAAGAUAGUUAAAGUAAACCCGCCUGGGAAAGAUUCGUUUAUGGUGUAUAGGGACAAACGUAGAGUAAAUUCUGGAAUCAUUUCUCUAAUGAAAGCCAGAAAGUGUUUAACCAAGGGAUGUACAUCAUAUUUAGCAUUUGUGAUCGAUGCUAAGAACGAAAAGAAGGUGAUGCAAAGUAUUCCAGUGGUGUGUGAUUAUCCAGAAGUAUUUCCCAAAGAUCUUCCUGGAUUAACGCCUGAUCGACAAGUGGAAUUCCGUAUUGACUUGUUACCAGGAACCACGCUAAUUGCAAAAGCACCUUAUCGAUUAGCACCGAUGGAGAUGAAGGAGCUGAUGAUGCAACUUCAGGAGUUAUUGGACAAAGGUUUCAUUAGACCUAGUUCAUCACCCUGGGGAGCUCCGGUGUUAUUCGUAAAGAAGAAAGAUGGAAGCAUGAGAAUGUGCAUUGAUUACAGAGAGCUGAAUAAGGCAACAAUAAAGAAUAGAUAUCCGUUGCCGAGGAUUGAUGACCUAUUCGAUCAACUACAAGGUUCAAGUUAUUUUUCAAAGAUCGACCUAAGGUCAGGAUAUCAUCAGCUGAAAGUAAGAGAGCAGGAUAUAGAGAAGACUGCAUUCAGAACACGAUAUGGACACUACGAGUUCUUGGUUAUGUCGUUUGGACUAACCAAUGCUCCGGCAGCAUUCAUGGAUUUAAUGAAUAGGGUUUGUAAUCCUUUCCUUGAUAAAUCCGUGAUAGUGUUCAUAGACGACAUUCUGAUUUACUCGAAAAGCCAGGAGGAGCAUGGCAGACACUUGCGAGAAGUGUUAGAAGUUUUGAAGAAGGAGAAGCUGUAUGCAAAGUUCUCCAAAUGUGAUUUUUGGAUUCGUGAAGUCCAAUUCUUGGGUCACGUGGUCAACCAAGAAGGGAUAAUGGUUGAUCCAACAAAGAUUGAAGCUGUAAUGAAGUGGGAACAACCAAAAAGUCCCACGGAGAUCCAAAGCUUUUUAGGAUUAGCCGGAUAUUACCGAAGGUUUAUCCAAGG
rnacentral:lncRNA from 1 species